AACGAACGCUGGCGGCAGGCUUAACACAUGCAAGUCGAGCGCCCCGCAAGGGGAGCGGCAGACGGGUGAGUAACGCGUGGGAAUCUACCCAUCUCUACGGAAUAACGCAUGGAAACGUGUGCUAAUACCAUAUACGUCCUUCGGGAGAAAGAUUUAUCGGAGAUGGAUGAGCCCGCGUUGGAUUAGCUAGUUGGUGGGGUAAAGGCCUACCAAGGCGACGAUCCAUAGCUGGUCUGAGAGGAUGAUCAGCCACACUGGGACUGAGACACGGCCCAGACUCCUACGGGAGGCAGCAGUGGGGAAUAUUGGGCAAUGGGCGCAAGCCUGAUCCAGCCAUGCCGCGUGAGUGAUGAAGGCCCUAGGGUUGUAAAGCUCUUUCACCGGUGAAGAUAAUGACGGUAACCGGAGAAGAAGCCCCGGCUAACUUCGUGCCAGCAGCCGCCGUAAGAC
rnacentral:rRNA from 1 species